rnacentral:lncRNA from 1 species
GGGGGUUGAGGGUAGUAUGCUCUCUGGUAGCGUUGGAACAAGAGGUACAUGUUCAUGAAAAUUUGUGAUGCUCAUAGAUUUCCUAUGUUUUGAAGCCGUGUAGGUGAGUUUACCGAAUUGGGUCGUUUGACCAUUACCUUUGUUACUCCUGACUAAUGUGUUUCUUGUGAUCAUAACUGUUACAUGCUCAGUAUUGCUUGUAAGGAGAGAGAUUGGCGAGGGAUCCGUUAAUUCUUCUGAAGAAGUGGAGAUGGAUAUCCUUCUUGGUGAGUUGGGAGGCCUUGCUCCCUAGCGUAUAUGGGCUAUGUUUCCUUUCAUGAGAAUUUAUUUUUGCCCGCUCUUUCAAAACGCGGCUAGUUGAUAUUAAAGAACAUACUAAAUUUCAGGAUUUGCCAAAUUCUGAA